GUCUCCCUUUGACAUAGAGCCCCUAAUGAUGGUGCGCCUUGGUUUUAUUCACUCAGACAUGGACAUGAGCAAUUAGAGUUACACAAUGAUUCAUCUGUCUCCCACUCUCCAUGGUACUACUUCUCCAGGUAAACAACUUAACCUCAGGUUUUUCUACUUUUCCCUGCAGCGUGUUAGCACGCUUGCAUGCCCGCUUCCUUCUCAGUGCUCACCGAGGAGGCCAAUUAGGCCUCGUUCUUCCCAUCUGAUCUCCAUACAUCAAUGUCAAUCCAGGAUAUUUAUUUAUUUAUUUAUUUAUUUACUUACUUACUUAUUUAUUGGUACCAGGGAUCAAACUCAGGACCUUGCGCUUGCGAGGCAGGCGUGGGCACCACUGAGCUGAAUCCCCAGCCCCAAGGAAUUUUUCAAGAUAUUAAUGUUGAGUAAUUCAGGAAAGCAAAAGUUCUAGACCUGUGGUGGUAAACCUAUGGCAUGUGUGCUGCAGUGGGCACAAAGAGCCCUCUCUGUCAACAGGCAAGCCAAGUCACCCCAGCAGCCGAGCAUCAGAUGAAGGUGGGUCUUUUUCUAAACUAAAACCUCAGUAUCCAGGUUUAAUCACAGUGUUGGCACUUUGUGAUAAGUGGGUUUUGGCUUGCAGUUUGGGCACUCAUCUCUAAAAGGUUCCCUCCCUAUCACUGUUCUAGACCAAUCACAACUGAACCAGUCAGCAAAGUGCGGCAGGAAUGGGGUAUUAUAUGUUAAAUAUGGAUUAUAAGAUCACUUUUGGACUAGUCAAUUCUACCUGAGAGUGGGAGAAAAUAUUUGUAACAAUCUAGUUGCUUUUGUACGAGCCAGAGGGUUAGAAAGGAGAGAAGAGCGGGUUACAGAAAAGGAAAAGAGUGACAUGCUGCUAAGAAAAGCGUUUACUAUAGAAGAAAAAGCCAAGAGGAGCUUAAAAUCACACAUAAGUGAAUAACUAGACAGAUUGACCAACCUAGACAUUGUAAGAUGAAUAAGCUCUAGAAACAACAGAGUAUAUACAAGC
rnacentral:lncRNA from 1 species